rnacentral:lncRNA from 1 species
UCGUACCCUUUUCCGAGGGCCCGCAGAGAGUCCAGAACCCUCAGCUCUCUCCCCGAGGGCUCGGAGAGCUUGUUGAGGGUCUUCAACCGAGGGUGUCCCCACCUCGGAUUAAACCCCCACGGCGCCUCGGACGCCAAAAAGAAAAACUUCCCCUUCCACUCAUGAAUAGAGGAAGGGGCCCCAUGAAAAAGCGACAUACCGCCUCGGAAGGCGAAGUAUAGCCACUCCGCGUCCGCCGGGUUCUUCUUUAAUAAGAAACACCGACGGAAGACGCUCACGGUAAUCGGGAUCCCAUGCCCGAGACACAGGGAGAGGAACCCGAUGAUGGUUCUCCACGAGUUCGGAGCGAGCUGUGCUGG